AGCGAACGCUGGCGGCAGGCUUGACACAUGCAAGUCGAGCGGGCCCUUCGGGGUCAGCGGCGGACGGGUGAGUAACACGUGGGAACGUACCCUUUGGUUCGGAAUAACGCUGGGAAACUAGCGCUAAUACAGGAUACGCCCUUUUGGGGAAAGGCUUGCUGCCGAAGGAUCGGCCCGCGUCUGAUUAGCUAGUUGGUGGGGUAAUGGCCUACCAAGGCGACCAUCAGUAGCUGGUCUGAGAGGAUGAUCACCCUCACUGGGACUGAGACGCGGCCCAGACUCCUACUGGAGGCUUCCUUGGUGAAAUAUUGGACAAUGGGCGCAAGCUUUCUCCCGUUUUUUUCCUUUGGUUACCGACGGUUUUUUUGUUGUUAACCAUCUCCCCCCCACUAAAUAAUGAUUUUACAUAUAAUAAUCUUCCAUGUCAAGGU
rnacentral:rRNA from 1 species